rnacentral:ncRNA from 1 species
AGCGCACAACGGCUUCCUGACGUGCGCUCCACGCGGACUCAUCGGAGCA